rnacentral:rRNA from 1 species
GGGGGGGGGGGGGGGGGGGGGGGGGGGGGGGAGGUCGGGGGGGGGGAGGAGGGGCUUGGGUGUGUGGUGGUGGCGGCGGGCGGGGGAGUGACACGUGGCUGGCCUAGCUAUGAGGCUGGGGUCACUGCGGGAAGGGGGAGCUGAUACCGGAUACUAUUGUGACCCGCCUGGUUCCCAAGUGCAGGACGGUCUUCGUGUCACUUUUAGAUGGAUCCGCGCUGCAUUAGCUAGUUGGUAAGGGAACGGCUUACCAAGGCAACGAUGCAUAGAAGACCUGAGAGGGUGAUCGGCCACACUGGAACUGAGACACGGUCCAGACUCCUACGGGAGGCAGCAGUAGGGAAUCUUCCGCAAUGGGCGAAAGCCUGACGGAGCAACGCCGCGUGAGUGAUGAAGGUCUUCGGAUCGUAAAACUCUGUUAUUAGGGAAGAACAUAUGUGUAAGUAACUGUGCACAUCUUGACGGUACCUAAUCAGAAAGCCACGGCUAACUACGUG